CGAAGGGUGCAAGCGUUACUCGGAAUUACUGGGCGUAAAGCGCGCGUAGGCGGUUUGUUAAGCCGGAUGUGAAAGCCCUGGGCUCAACCUGGGAACUGCAUUUGGUACUGGCAGGCUAGAGUACGGUAGAGGGUGGUGGAAUUUCCAGUGUAGCGGGGAAAUGCGUAGAGAUUGGAAGGAAAAUCAGUGGCGAAGGCGGCCACCUGGACUGAGACUGACGCU
rnacentral:rRNA from 1 species